rnacentral:siRNA from 1 species
UGGAUUUCCCACGGUAAUAUU